rnacentral:rRNA from 1 species
UACGAAGGGGGCGAGCGUUGUUCGGAUUUACUGGGCGUAAAGCGUGCGCAGGCGGUUUUGUAAGUUUGUCGUGAAAUCCCCGGGCUCAACCUGGGAAUUGCGAUGAAGACUGCAAGGCUAGAAUCUGGCAGAGGGGGGUAGAAUUCCACGUGUAGCAGUGAAAUGCGUAGAGAUGUGGAGGAACACCGAUGGCGAAGGCAGCCCCCUGGGUCAAGAUUGACGCUCAUGCACGAAAGCGUGGGGAGCAAACAGG